UUCUGGACCUGAACGAGUCUUUGCAGAAAUGAUCUGUGGUCACAUAGCAACAGCAACUGCCCAUGGGCAAUGCCCACAACAACCCACAAUAUUUUCAGAAGAAAUACACACAUACACAUGGCAGACCACACACAUAAUGUUUCUUAGUCUCUUUUAAAAGCUGUGUCCCUAUCUCUCUCUCUCACUCUCUCUCUUUCUCUGGAUCCUUUAAGAAAGAAUAACCACUUGUUUUUGUCUGCUAUUUAGAGACGGUUAAAUUUAGUUCCUGGACAGAAGGUUUUUCUUUUUCCCUUGUAUUUCCUUGCUCCCUCCCCUUGAUGUAAAUUGCCUGAGACAGUUCAUAAUAACAUGGCUUAGUGUUUUUUAGGUACCAACCAUCCAAGCCAGUGAAAUUCCCGGGGGGCUUCGGUGUGUUCAGGUCUUUGCAAAUCAGAAAAACAAGCUGGAUUACCCUGGAGGUGGUUCUUUCAGGCUUUAAGAGUCUUUGUCUUAAAGGCCGGAAGGAAUGGCCUCUGUCUGCACAGAUGUCCCUCCAUACCAUCUUAACCGAGAACAACAACAGCAACAACAAAAGUUGCUCCAGUAAGGAAAGAAAAAGGGCCAUGUUGGUUUGCUUGGAAGUGAGCCGGACGAUGAAGGAAGCGGAUGGGAAGAAAAACCAAGCACAUUUCAGUGUCACAUUUUGAAUGCCCUUUGGGCUUUCCACC